GAUUAACGCUGGCGGCGUGCAUAACACAUGCAAGUCGAACGAUGAAACUUAACUGAUUUCUUCGGAAUGAUUUUAAGUGGAUUAGUGGCGGACGGGUGAGUAACGCGUGAGUAACCUGCCUUGGAGAAGGGGAUAGCCUUUGGAAACGAAGAAUAAUACCCUAUGAUAUGAUAAUAUCUCAUGAUAUUAUCAUCAAAGAUUUAUCGCUCUAAGAUGGACUUGCGUCUGAUUAGUUAGUUGGUGAGGUAACAGCUCACCAAGGCAGCGAUCAGUAGCCGGCUUGAGAGAGUGUACGGCCACAUUGGGACUGAGACACGGCCCAGACUCCGACGGGAGGCAGCAGGGGGGAAUUUUGCACAAUGGGGGAAACCCUGAUGCAGCGACGCCGCGUGAUUUAGAAGGCCUUCGGGUUGUAAAAAUCUUUUGUAUGGGAAGAAAAUGACAGUACCAUACGAAUAAGGACCGGCUAAUUACGUG
rnacentral:rRNA from 1 species